AUGGGGACUAUUGGCAGUAGGCACACGGUUUGUCUUUCUUCCCUGUAUACUUGUGGCAAAUCCUUCCAAGUCAAUAAAACUUCAGGGUUUGGCAGAAGAAAAGUCCAUACUCACGUGGAGGCAUUCUCUGUUUUAAAAGGCUGCACCCGUUCAUCAGCUGCAGAUGUGGCUUCUGAUUUGCCUGGAUCAGCUGGUGACGUCGGAAUUUACGAGCUGCAGGUUUUGGCCGAGCAGAGCUACUGUUUGUUUCACUCCAUGCUUGCGAUGGCUGAUGAUACCAACUUCCUCCUUUUGGUUUUACUCUUAAGCUGCUCAUCGUUGUGUUUUGGUUCUCAAGCUGAUAUCGAGUGCCUGAAGUCUGUACAACAAUCAGUGAUUGAUCCCAACGGUGUACUCAAAUCCUCUUGGAACUUUGAAAAUGCCACCGCCGGUUUCAUAUGCCGCUUUACUGGUGUGGCUUGCUGGCACCCGGACGAGGACAGGGUUCUCUCUCUGCGCCUCGGGAACCUAGGACUUGAAGGCCCAUUUCCUCGUGGUCUACAGAAUUGUUCAAGCAUGAGCGGCCUGGACCUGUCAAACAACAAUUUUUCGGGACCAAUCCCUAGCGAAAUUGCACGGGAGGUGCCGUAUCUGACAUUUCUGGACCUUUCGUACAAUAGCUUUUCGGGUUCAAUCCCACAAAAUAUCUCACAAAUGACAUAUCUGAAUGUCCUCAACCUCCAGCAUAACCAACUCAGCGGUCAAAUUCCACCGCGAUUCGUUUUCCUUACUCGGUUAUUUGAAUUCAAUGUUGCGGACAACCUGUUAUCAGGGUUUAUUCCUCCUUUGCUACAGAAGUUUUCGUCUUCGAACUUUGCUGGUAACCAAGGGCUUUGCGGUGCACCGUUGGAUGAUUGUCCCCCCUCGAAGAGGAGAUGGAGACCGGUACGAAUCAGGCUGCACAGGCUCAAUGACCAGUCGAGCAUCGGAGUGGCCGUCGGAUUCGUCGUGGGGUUCGUGGUGGCCUUCUACUUCCCGCACUUGUUCGUCUGCUCCGAGAGGCUCCGAGCCUACGUCGUCCGGAUAUGA
rnacentral:rRNA from 1 species